UACGUGGGGUGCAAGCGUUGAUCGGAAUUACUGGGCGUAAAGCGUGCGCAGGCGGUUCGCUAAGACAGAUGUGAAAUCCCCGGGCUUAACCUGGGAACUGCAUUUGUGACUGGCGGGCUAGAGUAUGGCAGAGGGGGGUAGAAUUCCACGUGUAGCAGUGAAAUGCGUAGAGAUGUGGAGGAAUACCGAUGGCGAAGGCAGCCCCCUGGGCCAAUACUGACGCUCAUGCACGAAAGCGUGGGGAGCAAACAGG
rnacentral:rRNA from 1 species